AUAAUAUAAGAUACAGUUUCUUAACUGUUAACUAAAAAGCUAAGAGACACCUCUUAAAUUAGAGAUAUAAGAAACGUCUCUUAGUUUUUUUAGUUAAAAACUAAGAGACUAUAUCUUAUAUUAC
rfam:Brassica napus, WGS project CCCW01000000 data, contig: 33483